rnacentral:lncRNA from 1 species
UUGUUUCAGAAAUUGGCCUCGAAGGAAUCGCCGAAUCUACUAUCACAACCAGUUUCGUGAUGCUUAGGGUUUACUUCUUCAAUUUUGUCGAAGAAAUCGCACUUGCAAGCAACAUUCUCUGGAAUAGAUUGCAGUGCGAAACAUCUACAGAAACUCAGAAUCAAUCCAUCAUUUCACAUGAAUGUGAGAGAAAUGAGAACGAACCUUCAGCGUCCUUGAGAUCAUCUCUGAGACUCAAGAUUUCUUGUUUUCUUUCAGUGGCCUGAGAAUCCGAAGGUGAAAUAAAAGUGAAUAUUCAAAGGCGUUGGAUUGGGAUUUAAGGAAGGAAGUGUAUAACCUUUCGUCAUCGGAGAAUAGCGUUGCGAAGGAGAUAGUGCAUUGUACUCAUUUGCUUUUUUCAAAAUCUUUGAUUUGAGAAGCGAAUGAAGAGACGAACUUGAGAGAGUUUCCUAGAGAUGGUACUAAAUCCGUGGAACGCUCUGCCUCUCUGGAAUUGUUAAAAGCUUGGUGACUCCAAAACUCAAUGUUUAAAAAACGCGAUAAAUUAAAAUAGAGUAAGAAAUUAAUAAAAUUUGUUGCAAUUUUUUAAAACUGCCAAUACUUUUCAGGGUUUAGAAAACUUCUCCUAUUAUCUUACUGGAGGGUUAAGGUUUUUUAACCCUUGUUAACAAACCUCUCUUAAAAAUAAGAUUUUUUUUUAAUGUUUAGAAGGUAUAUUCAGAUUAUAUAAUCCAAAGAGUAUUUUUAUAUCUGAGAAAAUUUCAGAAUUAUGUAGUCCAAAAUAUAUUUUUUAAAAGAAUUUUUUUUUAUUUGUAUACCUUUAAGAUAUUUUUAAAUUCGAAAGUAACUUUCAGAUUCUAUAAUUCAAUAGGUGUAACUAAAAUAAAAAAUACAUUUUCCAGAUUCCAAAAUUCGAAAUGUAUAUUUUUUAAAGAUAAAAUUAUCUUUUCUACAUAUGGAGGUGCAAGAAGAAACUAAGAAGUUGCAGGAAGAAAUAGUCUUUUGUGAAUCUCUUAUAUUUUUAGGCUGAUUCUCCUUGCACCCAAUCAAUUUAUACUGGCACCCAAUUGUGUAUGCGAAAAAUACUAAAAUGUCCUUAAUGAAAUUGAAAUUAUAUUAAGUGAAAUUUGUACCCAAUCACAACACCCAACCCCCUUCAUUUUUGUAGGCAAUGCAAUAGCCGUCACCGCCUCCUUUGUUUUCACACUCAAACCAGCAACCACCGUCGUUCUCCCAUUCCCCCGUUCGUAUUUCUCCUCUGAGGCAGUGGAAGCUUCACUUGAACGAGCCCUUCAACGAACACGAACCUAGAAGCGAAGGACGUCCAUUGUUGUGGUCACUGAGACAUCGUUUGUGAGGGAGUUCGACAGCGAUAGAGAACGAAGACACCAGAGAAGACAAGGUGAGUUUAACAUGCCAGAUGCGUUCCGAAUACUUUUAUGCGGAAGUUUUUUUACUUCUGGAUUUUCUUAUCCGGAAGUGAUUUAUGUGUUGCGAAUGGCUUCGUACGGAAGGGUUUGUAUAUACUUCUGCAUCCCCAUAUCCAGAACACAUUUAACUUUUCCAGAUAUGUACUUCUAGAAUGCAGAACCCUAUUCCGAAUGAUGAUAUUCGUAAGCCAUUUUCCUUCUACGGACAUGGGUGUCUGAAAGUUUCAACUGCAAAUGUUAAAGAAGACAAUGUGGGUUUUAAAAAUUUCGUCGGGUGCAAUAAGCAAUUGAUUGGGUGCAGGAAGUAAUUGCCAUAUUUUUAAUACGCCUUAGUGGCCCACUAUCCUACAGACCCAAAACUUUUAAACUGGGCCCGCACGUAAGAGUUGGGCCAUGCAUUGAUUGGUUAUCGUGCAAGUACACAUGCAUGAACCUAUGGAGAAAAAAACCUAAUUUUUCAAAUUAGAUUAAAGCUUCAUUCAUUCAUCAACUAUCUAUCAGUUACAAGUAAAAAAAAAUGUAUUUAUCUACAAAAAUUGAACACAAAAAUACUCAACCAGCUAAAAGAAUAGUUAAAUUACAUAAACUUUGUUUUUCUGAGCUUUCAAUUAAGGUUGGUUUUAUACCACUAAUUCUUAAUCCCAAACUAAUACAAACAUCAAAAGUACUAAAUGACACAAGAUGUUGCAUUAUCCUAAAACAUUGGUCCUCAACAGAUCACCUCCUAACCAACUCCUUCAAAAUAGUACUUGAAAUAUUUAAUGGUUGUUCUAAUCGGAGCAACCAUUUAAACAGUGUACUUUCAAUCCUCUUUCGUUGGGAAGAAGAUAACAUACCACUAAUCUCAAUGAUAUGUUGUAUACAUACCAUGUCUCUCAUCCUAAUCUACAAUUGUAAAUAAUAAACUAAUUACUUGCUUUACAAAAUAUCAAAAAACAAUAUAUACCUUCUAAGACAAACAUGCAUUAACUUCGUUCACACCAUAUUUGUCUGCCAUUUUUUUUCCUUCAAAAACAAACCUAACAAGGACAACACAAAAAGUGAGCAAACAGAACAAAUGGUGAACCGCAAAAGCUCCAAAUGAAUGAAGCAAAACACAUCACAACAAAGGAAAGAACGCAUACUCAUCAAGACAAUACCAACAAGAACACCAAAACACAACCACACCAACAAACGCAACAAACCCCAAAACGAGGUCAUUGUCAGAACAAAGACAAAGGGAAACGGAACCCAAUACCCACAACCCAGUCGGAAAUCCAACAAAACGAAUAAACUGAAAACAACUCAAGCUCAAGCACUGCACUCGAAAAAGAGAGAAGACAUCGACACUUAAUUUGACCUAAAUUUAAAAUGUAUUAUAGAGUGAGCAAACAGAACAAAUGGUGAACCGCAAAAACUCCAAAUGAACGAAGCAAAACACAUCACAAUCAAGGAAAGAACACAUACUCACCAAGACAAUACGAACACGAACACCAACAAACCCCAAAACGAAAUCAGUGUCAAAACAAAGACAAAGGAAAUCGGAACCCAACACCCACAACUCAGUUGGAAAUCCAACAACACGAAAAAACUGAAAACAAGUCAAACUCAAGCACUACACUCAAAAAAGAGAGAAAGCAGCGACGCUUAAUUUGACCUAAAUUUCAAAUAUAUUACAGCGGUUCUCACAACCACACGCGGUGUACGCGCAUCACAAACAAGUGCAGAAAUGCUACAGCGGUUAUCACUACCAACCGCUGUAAAGCACUCCCCCUAAAACACUUGUUACGUUACCGAAUGCAAUCUCACUUUGUCAUGUCACCUCACUAUAAAUCAGGAUGUCACACCUAUGUCACCUCUGCAACAUUAAAUGUAUGUUAGCUGCUCAAUAUAUCGGGACCCUAUCACUUAUUCUAAACUGGAGUGGAAGAGGCUCUGUUCUGCUUAUUGGAGUCUGGAUUUUCUGCAUGCCAAACCCUCUACUGGAAGAGACGCAACUAUUGAUUUGUGGAUAAUGUUUUGUAUUACUUUAGUUGCGUCUCCUGCAGGCUUUUGAACCCUUCUCAUUAAAAAUUACAUUUCUAGUUUUUAACCUAUCUUUUUAACAUCAUUUAUUUCAUAUUUUAAAUAAUAUUAUAAAAAUUUAAAUCAUAAAUUAUUUAUUACAGGACACAAUGUUAACCAGUAUCUGUGUAGUAAUUUAAAUUUUUUAUUAAAAAUAAUAACACUAAUAAUAAUUGAGUAUCUUGUGUUUUUUCUAUGAUGAGCAUCUUAUAGUUGACACUGAACAGCUUUCCACAAUAAUACUCACAACUAUUACAGACUUUAAAUGAAUUUAUGAUAUUUAAAAAAAAAAUCCACAAAUAAAACUUAACGAGUAAGAACGUGAAAAAGAAAUGAUUGGACGAACAGUGUAUGCUAACGUAAAAGUUGAAGAAUAAAAAUAAAAAUGUUAAAUAAAAUAGAUUAAAGAAAAAUAAAACGAAAUUAAUAAAUUAAAUAUCAUUUUUAUCACGUUACGGAUUAUAUCAUUUUGAUAGGUGAAGAAAAAAAUUAAGCAAAAGGGUUCGAUCAAUUGAUUUCUUGUUCAAAUAUAAACAAAAUAUAUCCCAAGUUUCCAACUAAUUUGAUCUGAUUUGUUAUAUAUUUGAAAUAAUUAACUUUUUAUUUAUUCAUUUAGUGCAUUGACAUUUGUUUUCAUGCUAACAAACCAACCUUAGUAGAGUUGCUGUACUGAAUAAAAUUGAGUAGGGUCUAUCCGAAUCUUACUGGCUUUAGCAUGGUCUUGUUGUAGAACAAGUUUGAAACAUUUCAGAGGCCAACCAUACUCUUACAAUUACCACAUAAAUUAUAAUCGAAUACAAUCAUUACUUUAGGAAUCGGUUUAUUUAUGACUCGUGCACAAUGUUUCUUUACUAAAUAAAUUUAAGCUUUAAAAAAACGAUUUUCAACUUCAUGUUGCCUAAUUUAGACGCAUAUUUACUUAGCUGAACAAAUGUUAAAAACAUGCAGUUCUAUUAUAUGUCAUACAGAUUCACAGAACAACAGAACAAUCAGUUGCACUGGCAGCAAACUACCAUUAUAACCCUAGAACAAGGUAGUGUGGCUGCGAUCUUUUCAAUGAGUAUUGCUGAAUAGUAUGUGGGAAGCAUUCAACACCGUUUCAAAUCAUGGAUUGCCUUUUAAUUUUUUAUUUACAUUGUUUCAUUGGGAAAAUAACUCGCUUUCUAUUGAUCUGGAGUGUAAAGUAAAAUCUAAACAUACUAACCCCACCAAGCCUAAAUCAAUAGCCUUGAAAUAUCUACCCGGAUUUCUUAUACAAGGCGAUAACAUUGAGGUUGAAGGACUCCGGAUUUUUCUGGAUCAUGCUCUGUAUUACCUUAGCUGCAUCCUGUACUAAUUUGAAUGUAUUAGUAAUUUUAAAAUUGUAAAUCUUGGGUAACACACUUAUAGAUUCAAAAGCAACAUCUAUGAAACGGACGCUAGAAAAGGGGACGAAAACAGCAAAAGAAUAGCAAGCACACCAAGAGAAGAAAAGAGAAGAAGAGCACCAACCGGAAAACGAAAAACGCUGGCGAGAAUAUUACGAAGUGGACUUUAAGCCUAAUUCAAUCCCAUAAAAUUGGUUCGUGGGAUGAGGUUUGCACUCACUUAUAUACUUAUCUCUCGUCAAUAUGGAUCUCCAACACACCCCUCACGCUGAGAGUGACAGCUCGUGCGUGAGACAACAUAUUAUGGGUGGUCCAAUAACGGUCCGAUAGCGGGUGACACAAUAAGCCCAACAAACACUCGCUAGGAUAGACUUUAAAUGACUCUUUGUAUGUAAGAAGAUGGAAAGAAGAAAUAAGAUGUUUUUAUUCUGUGUAUUUACAUCCCUUCAUGUAUAGGAAAUAUAUAAUAGUGUAGAGAAUUUCUCUCUCCAAAUUACAAUAUAAUUAGAUAGGGAUCCUAUCAUUAUUAAAUUAAUUGCAUAUAAUUGGGUACAAUAUCGUACAAUCUUGCAUACAAUAAUUGCGUAUAAUUUGAUAAUUAUUAUUUUCUUAAUAUGUUAUCAGAUAACCGAUCUUGGUGCUUUGACAAACUCUCCAUUUUUAUCACGCUAAAUAAGAGAUCAUGUCUGGCAAAGAAGGCACCAGUAACGAGUCUGAUAGAAACUUCGUACGAGGCUUCACCGUCGAGCAAAUUCAGCCAUUGGCAAAGGCUAUUUACUCGCUCAGUGACUGACACGUUUGUUACGGCUACAAGUCUACUUGCCCAUAACUCUUCUAUUAAUUAUGCUUUUACAAAACCAUGAAUUUUGGAUAGCGGAGCAACCAAUCAUUUUGCAUCUGAUUCACAAUUUUUCACAUACACCUCAUCAUCAUUUAUUUCAAAUGUUAAUUUGCCCACAGGCUCAACUGCGCCCAUUUCAUCUACGGGCACAAUUAAACUCAAUGACAAUAUCACUCUCUCAAAGAUGUUCUUUGCGUUCCUUCUUUUAAUUUAAAUCUCAUGUCCGUUAGUAAGAUAACCAGUUCGCUAAAUUGUUGUGUCGUUUUUACUCCACAUGGUUGCUUGCGUUUUGCAGAACUUGGCUACGGGGAGGAUGAUUGGCUCGGGUAAACAACACGCAUGCCUAUACUACAUGUCCCCUCUUCCAAACCAAGUCCACACAUCUCAAAUUAAGACCGACCCUGAUUUAUGGCACAAGCGCCUCGGACAUCCUUCUCCGGCGUGUCUACAACUUGCAUCUUCCUUACUACCUAUCACUAAAAAUCUCAUUCUCAUUCAUAAUAAUUGUAGUAUUUGUCCCAAAGCUAAACAAACAAAGCUACCUUUCCUUUAAGCACAAUAAGAUCUCAUUCUCCAUUUAAUCUAUUGCAUUGUGACAUUUAGGGUCCUCAUAAAACCCCAACUCAUUUUGGAAAAUGUUUUUUUCUCACUAUAGUCGAUGACUAUAUUAGAUGCACUUGGUUAUUUCUUAUGAAUCACAAGUCUAAAACUCAACAUCUCUUAGAAUCAUUCAUUACUUUUGCACAAAAUCAAUUUCAGACAUCUAUUAAAACCAUCCGCGUUGACAACAGAUUGAAAUUUAUUUCUAUGCGUAAGUUUUUCUCAAAAAAGGUAUUGAAUGUCAACGCACUUGUGUUUACACUCCUCAACAAAAUGGAGUAGUAGAACGCAAACAUAGAUACAUUUUAAACACAGAGCCCUCCUAUUUCAGUCCAAUUUACCAUUAGAAUUUUGGGGGAAUGCGUUUUAACCGUCACAUAUAUCAUUAAUCGCUUGCCAACACCUUUACUAAAAAAUAAAUCACCUUUUGAGAUGCUAUAUAAUCACCCAUCUUCACUUUCCCACUUAAAAACUUUUGGUUUCCUCUGUUAUGCAAUUGUUGUUUCACCUAAGCAAAAAUUUGAUUCGUGCGAUCGACAGUACAUUUUCAUUCGUUAUCUUCUCAAUAAAAAAACAUACAAAUUAUUUGAUAUAGAUGCAUGCACUUUUUUUAUAAGUCGGGAUGUCAUCUUCCAUGAAAGUGUUUUCCCAUUCUGCCAACAAUCACAUAUGCAAUCCUCACCUCCAUUACAAGGUAUUUUGCUCACUAUUGACAUUGACUUACCCACUCCUGUCCAACAUUCACUCGAUCAACCUUCUUCUCCUACUCAUCAUAAUUCACCUGAACCUCCAUCAAACCAACCUUCUUCUCCUACUCAUCAUAAUGCACCUGAACCUCCAACAGACCAACCUUCUUCUCCCACGCCAAGAAGUCUAGCACCCAUUACCAAACCUUCUCCAACCGACCUUCCUGUUCGACGAUCCAGUCGCACAUCAACCCCACCUUCCUGACUUCAAGACUACGUAACGGGAUCCCAAGCCAAUACCACUGGCCAAGACCGGCCGAAUGGAACCAGGUAUCCUAUGCAUCAUUUUCUUUCUAAUUCACGAUUUCUUCUACACAUAGGGCAUAUCUUGCUAACAUCACAACCACCAAAGAACCUCACACUUAUGCUCAAGCUAUCCUUGAUCCAAAUUGGCAAAAAGCAAUGGACAAAGAGUUUUCCGCCUUGCAGCUAAAUCAAACGUGGACCUUGACACCGUUACCUGCUGGGCAGAAACCCAUCAGAUGCAAAUGGGUCUAUAAAAUAAAGUACAACUCAGAUGGCAACGUCGAAAGAUAUAAGGCGCGCCUUGGCGCAAAAGGGUACACUCAGAUUGAAGGUGUCGACUAUUCUGAAACUUUUUCACCAAUAGCAAAAUUAACAACUUUGAGCUGUAUCCUCACCAUUGCAACAACCAAAAAUUGGUUUACUCACCAGCUAGAUGUGUUUAGGGUUUACUUCUUCAAUUUUUUCGAAGAAAUAGCACUUGCAAGCAACAUUCUCUGGAAUAGAUUGCAGUGCGAAACAUCUACAGAAACUCAGAAUCAAUCCAUCAUUUCGCAUGAAUGUGAGUUUAUAUGUGAGAGAAAUGAGAACGAACCUUCAGCGUCCUUGAGAUCAUCUCUGAGACUCAAGAUUUCUUGUUUUCUUUCAGUGGCCUGAGAAUCUGAAGGUGAAAUAAAAGUGAAUAUUCAAAGGCGUUGGAUUGG